CGGGGUAUAGUUAAACUUCUAUAACAUCUCCUUUACACCGAGAAAGUAUCUGUGGAAACCAGGUUACCCUGA
rnacentral:tRNA from 1 species